CCCCCCCAUCCCCCCCAGCCUCGCUUUCAGCCCGGACUCCUCCUUCCUGUGCGCGGUCAGCGACAAAGGCACCGGUCACGUGUUCGCGUUGCGGGACACGCGGCUCAACCGGCGCUCGGCCCUGGCCCGCGUGGGGAAGGUGGGGCCGGUGCUGGGCCCCUACGUGGAGUCCCAGUGGUCCCUGGCCACGUUCUCGCUGCCGCCCGAGGCCGCCGCCGUCUGCGCCUUCGGCCGGGGGGGGCGGAGCCCCAGCUCCGUGGUGGCCGUUUGCGCCGAUGGAACCUUCCACAAGCACGUGUUCAGCCCCGACGGGAACUGCAACCGCGAAGCCUUCGACGUCUUCCUCGACAUCUGCGACGACGACGACUUCUGAGCGCC